rnacentral:pre_miRNA from 1 species
CACGAUCCCAGGCGAAAAUCAGCCCACUUCCAGCUGGAUUAUGGAACUGGUCCCAGCUGGAAGUGGACUGAUUUUCGCCUGGGCGAG